AGUUGAAAAAAUCCCCGACAGAUCCUGGGCAAGGCCUCUCUGUAUACCCACACAAAAUGUGUUGCCAGCCGAGGGUGUUGUUCCUCUUGUGUCUCUAACCCCAACUGAGAUACAGAGAGCUUAGGAUUUUUAUAUAAUAUUAGGUUGCUAGCUAUUUGGUUUCUACAUGAUGAAGAUGAUCUGCUGACUCUUCUGCACUUACGAUCUCUGAACCCAAGUACCUCAUCUGCAGAAUGUCAAUGAAAUUACCUACACUGUGGGGUUGCUAAGAUGAUGAAAUGAGAGAAAUAAAGCUUAUGA